GAUGAAGAACGCAGCGAAAUGCGAUAAGUAAUGUGAAUUGCAGAAUUCAGUGAAUCAUCGAAUCUUUGAACGCACAUUGCGCCCCCUGGUAUUCCGGGGGGCAUGCCUGUUCGAGCGUCAUUUCACCACUCAAGCCUCGCUUGGUAUUGGGCAACGCGGUCCGCCGCGUGCCUCAAAUCGACCGGCUGGGUCUUCUGUCCCCUAAGCGUUGUGGAAACUAUUCGCUAAAGGGUGUUCGGGAGGCUACGCCGUAAAACAACCCCAUUUCUAAGGUUGACCUCGGAUCAGGUAUGGAUACCCGCUGAACUUAAGCAUAUCAAUAAGCGGAGGA
rnacentral:misc_RNA from 1 species